GAUGAACGCUGGCGGCGUGCCUAAUACAUGCAAGUCGAACGCUUCACUUCGGUGAAGAGUGGCGCACGGGUGAGUAAUACAUAAGUAACCUGGCAUCUACAGGGGGAUAACUGAUGGAAACGUCAGCUAAGACCGCAUAGGUGUAGAGAUCGCAUGAACUCUAUAUGAAAAGUGCUACGGGACUGGUAGAUGAUGGACUUAUGGCGCAUUAGCUUGUUGGUAGGGUAACGGCCUACCAAGGCGACGAUGCGUAGCCGACCUGAGAGGGUGACCGGCCACACUGGGACUGAGACACGGCCCAGACUCCUACGGGAGGCAGCAGUAGGGAAUUUUCGGCAAUGGGGGGAACCCUGACCGAGCAACGCCGCGUGAAGGAAGAAGUAAUUCGGUAUGUAAACUUCUGUCAUAGAGGAAGAACGGUGGAUAUAGGGAAUGAUAUCCAAGUGACGGUACUCUAUAAGAAAGCCACGGCUAACUACGUG
rnacentral:rRNA from 1 species